rnacentral:rRNA from 1 species
CCUACGGGAGGCAGCAGUAGGGAAUAUUGCUCAAUGGGGGAAACCCUGAAGCAGCAACGCCGCGUGGAGGAUGAAGGUUCUCGGAUUGUUAACCCCCUUUGUUAGAGAAGAUAAUGACGGUAUCUAACGAAUAAGCACCGGCUAACUCCGUGCCAGCAGCCGCGGUAAUAGGGCGGGUGCAAGCGUUACUCGGAAUCACUAGGCGUAAAGAGCGCGUAGGCGGGAUAGGAAGUCAGAUGUGAAAGCCUAUGGCUUAACCAUAGAACUGCAUUUGAAACUGUUAUUCUAGAGUAUGGGAGAGGUAGGUGGAAUUCUUGGUGUAGGGGUGAAAUGCGUAGAGAUCAAGAAGAAUACUCAUUGCGAAGGCGGCCUGCUGGAACAUAACUGACGCUGAUGCGCGAAAGCGUGGGGAGCGAACAGGAUUAGAUACCCUAGUAGUC